GCUGGACUUAGGUCAGUUGGUAGAGCACGAGAUGCUUAAUCUCAGGGUUGUGGGUUCAAGCCCCAUGUUGGGUG